CAAGCCUCCCCUGCUGCCGCUCUCUGCAGCUGGCAGAGGACAGGAGCCGAGCGGCCGACCACAUGCACUGGGCCCUGCGGUUCCUGGAGAGCCCACACGAACCCCUGCGAGAGGCGGCCAUCAGGAUCAUGGGGAUGGCCGGGCGGCACCUGAGGUGCAAGAGGGAAGAGCCCCAGGACCACAGUCAGGCCAUUUAAGUCCCAAGGAAAGACACUAGUCCAUCCCACUGCAACCUGAAUAUUCACGCCCAAUUUGCCAGAAGAGCUGAAGAAUUAGGUGCAUCUUCAGGAUCCAGUGCAUCAGUGACCUAAGAACAGGACCAGCAGACACUGAAGAAGACGCCAUCUCCCAGUGCCACUGGAGCUCCAGGCACAGCUGAUGAUUGGCACAGCUGAGCCAGAAGGAACCUCCCAUAGCUCCUGCCUUCGCCCUGCCUGUAGAUAGCUCUUUCCCUCCAGCCCUCAGACCCUGCCCAUGCCCGUUUCUUACCUCCCGGCUGAUCCCUUUGUUUCACCUUCCAUUAAUAAACAGUUUGGCUUCUUCACUUUGCCUGCAUCUCUGUGGAGCUGAAGCGGCGCAAAUCCGGGGCCCUGGGACACACAGGCCCCUGCUGCCGUUCCCUCCCACGCCGUGCUUUGUGCACAGACACAGAGGAAGGAGGGCAGCUCAGGCUGGAAAGGUCCCUGUGCUGAAGGUGCAGUUCCACAGCACUGUGCAGUUCCAGGCCUUGCAGAGCACACUGAAGGCCAGCAGUGGGACAAGGAGCCUGGGUGUCAGGGCUGAAGUCGUGUCUAAGGCCCUGCCAGAUUUGCUCCGCUGUUGUG